UUCAGGCCAUCUACUGAUUGGAUGAGGCCCACCAGCAUUCUGAAAGACAAGGAAUCUGAGACCUGGCUGGGAGAAGAGGACUUGCCUAAAGUUAUCCCACACAGCAAAUUAGUUGGAAAACCAGGAUAGUUGAGUAAAUAUCCUGGAGCCCAGCCAAGUAAUGAAGCCAGAAUUCAGAAAGCUGUUUUGGCUAGAUCUUGGAUUUUUACAAUAAAGGGUCUGUAAGGGAUAUUUGUGAAAAAUGUUGACACUUGACGGCUGUCCUGAUUCAUUCAGCUACCUAGGUUAUCUCUGCCUCUCUUUGACUUGUGUUUUGUCUUUUAAGAUGGCAGUCUUGCUCUUUUGCCUGGGCUGGUCUUGAACUCCUGGGCUCAAGCAGUUUUCCUGCUUUAGCCUCCUGAGUAGCUGGGGCUACAGGAGGACAUCACUGUGCCCAGCUCUCUCCGUAUCUUUGACUAGGUUAUUUUACAACCCCAUACGAUAGAAAUGAAGUUAUAGAAAACUGAUAGGAAUACAAAUAAUUAUUAUCCAUGGAAAUGCAAAUUGGAUCUAAUGGAAUGAAACUGAUUUUUUUUCCAGCAGAUAGUGACCACCUUUGUAUCCUUUUGUAAAUUCAUUUCAGCAUUCCAUAUUUGACUAAAAAUGUGUGACACUCCCAAUUUGCUUUUGAAUUCAUUGUAAUAUCUACCAAUUCCCUCAUUAAUUAAUGAGUUAAAUAAAGCCUUUGGCAUGUAUUUAUUUUG
rnacentral:lncRNA from 1 species